GGGCUGAAAAGUUGGCUUGAGGAACCCUUUCUCUUUUGAAUGCUCUUGAAUGCUCUCUUAAAUGCUCUUCAAAUCUUUUUCUUUCUCUUCUUAAUCUCUUUCAAUCUCUUGUAUAUUUCCCACCUUUUGAAUCCUUUUAUAGCUAUAAGAAAUAGAGAAAAAUAUUCUAGGCAGAAAAAGAGCCGUUAGAGCACAUUAAAUGAGCAUUAAAAGCACUUAAAA
rnacentral:lncRNA from 1 species